AGAACUUCCUUUAGCUGCUCCUGUAGCAUAUAUUUGCUGAAGAUGACUCCUUUUUAGUUUCCUUCUGUAAACACCCUGAGAGAUUUUUUACUUCCUGGACUGUGUGGUUGCUGAUGUGAAAUCACCAUCAUUUGAAUUUGUUUGCCUCUCUACAUGGAUGAGCCAUGCCCUCUGCCAUGAUGUGUUCCACUUCCGGGAGAGCCGUCAUAAGAAUCACUGUGGCGCUGCUGGGACAGUCAACCUCCCCAAAUUGUGCUCUAAGUCAACAAUAUUGCAUUUUCAGGGAUCCCUGAGAACCAUAUUGGCCAUAGCACUAUGCCUGCAGUACCAAAUGGUGAAAACAGACCUGAAUGGCCCUGAGGGAAGCCAAGAGACAUAAUGAUGCUAACUGCUGCCCUGUUUGUCCAUGUCAGAACAUGUGAUGACCAGUAUCUGUGAGCGUGUGAAGAGGCUACCCUGCCUACCUCUGCUGAUUCUCCACAAGCUCUUCCUAACACAUCCAAGGUUCUUUUGCAGUGUAAAAGGACAGAAGCCCUAGAAACUAUGGCGCCAGCUUUGGAAGGCAGGUGUGACUGGUCAGUGAUCAGCAGUGAUGCCCCACUGGUCCUGUGACCUCUGUGCUGAUUCUCCACCUGCACAACUGAAAACUCCAGGCACUUGCUAACACCGGCAGAAGA